GGGAGAGGAAAUUGUUUCCUCGAGUCGUUGAUUUCACACUGCCGAGAAAAGCCUCUAGAUAGAUAAUAGGUGCCCGUACCGCAAACCGACACAGGUAGUCAAGAUGAGAAUUCUAAGGUGAGCGAGCGAACUCUCGUUAAGGAACUCGGCAAAAUGACCCCGUAACUUCGGGAGAAGGGGUGCUCUUUAGGGUGCAAGCCCAGAAGAGCCGCAGUGAAUAGGCCCAAGCGACUGUUUAUCAAAAACACAGGUCUCUGCUAAACCGUAAGGUGAUGUAUAGGGGCUGACGCCUGCCCGGUGCUGGAAGGUUAAGAGGAGUGGUUAGCUUCUGCGAAGCUACGAAUCGAAGCCCCAGUAAACGGCGGCCGUAACUAUAACGGUCCUAAGGUAGCGAAAUUCCUUGUCGGGUAAGUUCCGACCCGCACGAAAGGCGUAACGAUUUGGGCACUGUCUCAACGAGAGACUCGGUGAAAUCAUAGUACCUGUGAAGAUGCAGGUUACCCGCGACAGGACGGAAAGACCCCGUGGAGCUUUACUGUAGCCUGAUAUUGAAAUUCGGCACAGCUUGUACAGGAUAGGUAGGAGCCUUUGAAGCGUGAGCGCUAGCUUACGUGGAGGCGCUGGUGGGAUACUACCCUAGCUGUGUUGGCUUUCUAACCCGCACCACUUAUCGUGGUGGGAGACAGUGUCAGGCGGGCAGUUUGACUGGGGCGGUCGCCUCCUAAAAGGUAACGGAGGCGCUCAAAGGUUCCCUCAGAAUGGUUGGAAAUCAUUCAUAGAGUGUAAAGGCAUAAGGGAGCUUGACUGCGAGACCUACAAGUCGAGCAGGGUCGAAAGACGGACUUAGUGAUCCGGUGGUUCCGCAUGGAAGGGCCAUCGCUCAACGGAUAAAAGCUACCCCGGGGAUAACAGGCUUAUCUCCCCCAAGAGUUCACAUCGACGGGGAGGUUUGGCACCUCGAUGUCGGCUCAUCGCAUCCUGGGGCUGUAGUCGGUCCCAAGGGUUGGGCUGUUCGCCCAUUAAAGCGGUACGCGAGCUGGGUUCAGAACGUCGUGAGACAGUUCGGUCCCUAUCCGUCGUGGGCGUAGGAAAUUUGAGAGGAGCUGUCCUUAGUACGAGAGGACCGGGAUGGACAUACCUCUGGUGUACCAGUUGUCGUGCCAACGGCAUAGCUGGGUAGCUAUGUAUGGACGGGAUAAGUGCUGAAAGCAUCUAAGCAUGAAGCCCCCCUCAAGAUGAGAUUUCCCAACUUCGGUUAUAAGAUCCCUCAAAGAUGAUGAGGUUAAUAGGUUCGAGGUGGAAGCGUGGCGACACGUGGAGCUGACGAAUACUAAUCGAUCGAAGACUUAAUCAAUUU
rnacentral:rRNA from 1 species